rnacentral:misc_RNA from 1 species
AAAAAAUUCUUCCUCCCUUAGUUAAAAAAAAAAAAAAAAUGGAGCAGCAAUUAUCAAAAUUUCGCCUUUCCUAUUUUAAACGCUACACAGGAAAAUCUCAUUUCUGUUCUGCACUUCCCUCAUUUUCCAAACGUUAUACUACGAAAAUCAGAAAAUGCAACUCACCAAAGAGAGAUUUCAAUUCAACAAAGAGAGAUUUCAAUUCAACUUGUAAGAAGAAAAAAAGAUGAGCA